GCGUUUAAUAAGGGAAAAGACACUUUUUAAAACGUUAAUGGUGUUACUGGCUAAUUUACUGUUUUCCACAUAAUUACAAAAAUAAUUUAAUAGUGAUUUUCUCAUUAAGAAGAUGAUUUUCUCAUUUAGCUUUACUGCAUGAUAUACACAUAGUGACUCUGACAUUACAUUUGAUCUGCUAAAAAUCAUCUAAAUGAAAGACAAACUGGCCUUUUCUCUCUGUAAAAUGAAAGACAUAUUGUAACACUUGUGUUAUCAACCCCAUAUUUUCUUGUUUUGGUCAAUCGAUAAUCAAUAUAUAUUAAAUCAUUUUGCAGGUGUACUGGUGUGAGGUUUCUUACCGUUCUAAACGAGUAGAAUGUUGUCAACCGUUGCUAUGCAACUGGCACGCGGUUCCAACUACCGAGAGCAGAGAGGGUCAAACGUUUCACAUUCAAGUAGCUUUAUUGUCAUAUUCGAAAGGAUAAACAUUAGUAGGAUACACCAGUAUUAUUGUAGCUACUUACACAUGCAAUAUAAAUGGUUCUUUGCAAUUCGGCGAUGUCCGAAUUCACGAAUAGCGAGUCAAUCGGUCAAGCUGUCUAAAUUCAAGAUCCAGUCUGAAUAGUUUUCCAACCGAAUCAAAACGUGUACAAAAGCAGUGACCUCUUUAGAGUGGAUGUGCAGUCUGUCAGCUGAAGCGUGCAGUAGCCCUGCUCUGGCCUCAUCCCUCCAUCUCUGCAAAACACAUUCACAAUGUCACACAUCUGGUCCCAUGAGAUUAAACAAACCUGUGAAAUCUACCUCAAUAACUUUGUCUGCGUGUGUGUGUGUUUAAGAAUAUUAGAAUAAUAUUAAUUCUCACUGGUCUUUGAUUUUUUGAAGUCUGGUUAAAGGUGUCAGGUAGAUCCGGAUUGCUGGAUCCUCUCACGGAGAUCACAAUAUCAGCAUAAGGGACUUCAUGAUCACUCUGGCUGUCUGGGAUUAAAAAAAUAAAUAAAAAUGUGGACCAGUUAACUCUUAAAUGUUACUGCCAGUCCCAGAUACACUAUUGUGAAUAAUAUUGUGAAAUAUUAUUACAAUUUAAAAUAAUUUCUAUUUUAAUAUAUUUAAUAUUAAUUUUAAUUUAAUAUAUUUAAUAUUAAUUUAAUAUAUUUAAUUUAAUUUUAAUAAUUAUAUUGUAAUUUAUUCCUGUGAUGUCAAAGCUGAAUUUUCAGCAUCAUUACUUCAGUCUUCAGUGUCACAUGAUCCUUCAGAAAUCAUUCUAAUAUGAUGCUCAAGCUCAAUAAACAUUUCUUAUUAUUAUCAAUGUUGAAAACAGUUGUGCAGUUUAAUACAGAAAACAGCAUUUUAAAAUUGUAAUAAUAUUUCACAAUAUUAUUGUUUUUACUGUAGCUUUGAUCAAAAACAUGCAACCUUGGUGAGCAUAAGAGACUUUCAGAAACAGUAAAAAUUUUAAUUAUUCCAAACUUUUGACAGGUAGUAUAUAUACAUAUAUUAUUGUAUUUUUAUAUUUAUAAUAAAUUGAGAAAGACCUUGAGCGAUUGGCUUUAUCGCCACAGCACUUCUGGAUGUAACCCUAAAAGAAACCAGAUAAUGAAAGAGAUUUGAUAUGUCUUGCUGUUUCAUACUGAUAAAUUUUCCACAUAAAAUUGUGAUUACCUUUCAUGGACUAUGUUUGCAGAAUCCAUGAUCUUACAUCCUUUUCUGUAGCACAAAUACACCAGAUGGGCUGUCAGGAUAACUACUGCAGACACCGCAAAAGCUGCAAAGACCUUGGCCCAGGCGAAUCCAUCUGUAUGGCAAAAUGCUGACUUGAUUGACUUUGUUGUAUGUGAAUCUGAAAAUGGGUUGAUGUAUUUUUGAAGUGUGAAAACACUCACCCGAUGUGAUGACCUCUAUUUCCACAGUGAUAGCCUGGUCAGUGCAGGUCCCUUUGGUGUGGCACCUGUAUCGUCCACUAUCCUCUGCUUUAAUUUCACUCCACUGUAAUAUGGUGUCACUUAUUUUGAUCAAGGGGAGGGUACUGUUUUCUCUGACCCACUGCACCUCACAGGGAUUGUUGUCAGGGGCGACACAUUGAAGUCUGGGUGAGGUUCCUGCCAUCACUUCAAUAGUGGAAAAUGAUGUAAACACCUCAUCUGAAUCUGUCUGACCCCUAUAUAACUUUACUCUCAGAGAUGGAUCUAGACAAGUAAAACAACAUCCAAAACAAUAAUACAAAAUUAAUAAUGGCCUUAGAAAUAAUACAGUGAGUAGAACUAUUCCUUACAGAUCCAUAACUUAUAGACUUACCGGAUUCAGGAGUUGUUACUUGUCCUUCAGAUUCAUCUGUAUAAAGCAUGAUUGCAGAAAUGGUAAGAAAAGUCCUUAGAUUAAUUAAAGGAAUAGCUCCAAAUCUAUUCUUGACAAAGAAACAACUUCAUCUACAUCUUGGAUGGCCUGAGGGUGACUAAAUUUUCAGGAAAUAUUCAUACUUAUAUUCAACUAUUCUAUUUUUAUUUUUUUUUAUUUUUUAACAUUAUAUGUUAUUAAUUGUUAGCAGUAAACUCAAACACCUCUUACCAUUAACUUGCAGUGUUACCAGAAGCUCCAUUUUACGAGGAAGGCCCGGGCGGUCACUCUCUUCAGAAAAGCAUGAAUAGUUAUAACGUGUUUGCUCCAUAAUUAGGUGAGGUAUGUGCAAGCUCACAGUGCACACGUCUCCUAACUUAGAAUUUUUUUGAUCCCAGUGGCACUUGCUACAAGCUGGAGUGGCUUCCCAUGUCCAUGUACCACGAGUGAAGCCACUGGAACAGUUGUAGGUACAGUUUAAAGUAAACGGCUGUUGAAGUCUAGCAUUCUGAAUCUCACGCUGGAUUCCAGCACUCAUAGCAUCUAUAAAGAACCACAACGUUAACAGCAACUAGAAACUGCACAUAUAUGUUCAUUUAAAUACUAUUAUAUGUAUCUACAGAAACAUCUAAUAUUCUAGAUAUAAUUAAAAACAUAAUUCAUAAAAAAUUUAAAUGAUAAUGUAGCAUGACAUUACCUUGGAAUCCUAGUUGUAAAAGUAGUAUCACAGGAAUCAGAAACAUGUUUUGGCAUUCAGUCAAGAUACUUUUUCUUAUAUCUGCAUGAAUGAUAAAUGGUUUAUAGUAUGGCAGAAAAACAAAGGGAAGCUCCUCCCCAUGAAGUUGUUUAUGAAUAGCACCUGCCUCCGUAAAAUGUGGUUAACUGAGCUGUUGGAACAUUGUAAUGCAUGGCAAAAUAUGACUGGGCCUUUUGUGGCUUGAUUUGCAUGGCACUGUGGUAUUCUUUGAUUUUUUAACCAAGAC
rnacentral:lncRNA from 12 species